AGUGAACGCUGGCGGCAGGCCUAACACAUGCAAGUCGAGCGGCAGCGGGCUGUAGCAAUACAGUGCCGGCGAGCGGCGGACGGGUGAGGAAUACAUCGGAAUCUACCUUGUCGUGGGGGAUAACGUAGGGAAACUUACGCUAAUACCGCAUACGAACUACGGUUGAAAGCGGAGGACCGCAAGGCUUCGCGCGAUUGGAUGAGCCGAUGUCGGAUUAGCUAGUUGGCGGGGUAAUGGCCCACCAAGGCGACGAUCCGUAGCUGGUCUGAGAGGAUGAUCAGCCACACUGGAACUGAGACACGGUCCAGACUCCUACGGAGGCAGCAGUGGGGAAUAUUGGACAAUGGGCGCAAGCCUGAUCCAGCCAUGCCGCGUGUGUGAAGAAGGCCUUCGGGUUGU
rnacentral:rRNA from 1 species